GUAAGCUCACUCGCUCGCUCUAUUAUCGCCGGCUAUUUCAACCGAACUACUGUGUGCAUUCUAGAGAGAGAAAGUGAUGGGUAAGCAACCGGUGAGAAUGAAGGCAGUGGUUUACGCCUUGUCUCCAUUCCAGCAAAAGGUGAUGCCGAGCCUCUAGAAGGAUUUGACUGGCAAGAUCCACCACAAGAUCUCAGAAAAUUGGAUCAGUGCUACCCUUCUCCUUGGCCCUCUCGUCAGAACAUACUCCUAUGUGCAAUGGUAUCAGGAAAAGGAGAAGAUGGAGCACAGAUACUAAAAAUUUCAUGUUUUAUCUACUCUUACUGGCCAUGAUUUUUCCUGCAGCUGCAGUUAUUAAACUCUGGAAUUUAAAUGCUCAUUUGCAGAUAUCUACUUCUGUGACCUUCAACUUUUGUUAAAUCACUCGAUAUUUGAAAUCUGUGGUGUUAUGCAAAAAAUUUCUGAAUACCUG
rnacentral:lncRNA from 1 species